GAUGAAGAACGCAGCGAAAUGCGAUAAGUAAUGUGAAUUGCAGAAUUCAGUGAAUCAUCGAAUCUUUGAACGCACAUUGCGCCCGCCAGUAUUCUGGCGGGCAUGCCUGUUCGAGCGUCAUUUCAACCAUCAAGCCCCCGGGCUUGUGUUGGGGACCUGCGGCUGCCGCAGGCCCUGAAAAGCAGUGGCGGGCUCGCUGUCACACCGAGCGUAGUAGCAUACAUCUCGCUCUGGGCGUGCUGCGGGUUCCGGCCGUUAAACCACCUUUUAACCCAAGGUUGACCUCGGAUCAGGUAGGAAGACCCGCUGAACUUAAGCAUAUCGAUAAGCGGAGGA
rnacentral:misc_RNA from 1 species